rnacentral:rRNA from 1 species
GACGUAGGGGGCCAGCGUUGUUCGGAAUUACUGGGCGUAAAGGGCGCGUAGGCGGUCAGCACAAGUCAGUUGUGAAAUCUCCGAGCUUAACUCAGAAAGGUCAACUGAUACUGUGCGACUAGAGUGCGGAAGGGGCAACUGGAAUUCUUGGUGUAGCGGUGAAAUGCGUAGAUAUCAAGAGGAACACCUGCGGCGAAGGCGGGUUGCUGGGCCGACACUGACGCUGAAGCGCGAAAGCCAGGGGAGCGAACGGG